rnacentral:rRNA from 1 species
UACGGAGGGUGCAAGCGUUAAUCGGAAUUACUGGGCGUAAAGCGCACGUAGGCGGAUCGAUCAGUCAGGGGUGAAAUCCCAGAGCUCAACUCUGGAACUGCCUUUGAUACUGUCGAUCUAGAGUAUGGAAGAGGUGAGUGGAAUUCCGAGUGUAGAGGUGAAAUUCGUAGAUAUUCGGAGGAACACCAGUGGCGAAGGCGGCUCACUGGUCCAUUACUGACGCUGAGGUGCGAAAGCGUGGGGAGCAAACAGG